rfam:Asian citrus Psyllid, Diaphorina citri - Florida Strain, whole genome shotgun sequence.
GCCAGCGGCGAUAGCACGUUGAAUGCCCAAGUUUCCAAUGGAUCACUGAAGCAACGUUGCACGUGGUUAGUUUCCGGAUGGGUGACCAUCUGGGCAAUCGCGUACUGCUGGCU